AGUGAACGCUGGCGGUAGGCCUAACACAUGCAAGUCGAACGGCAGCACGGUAAGCGCUUGCUCUUACGGGUGGCGGGUGGCGGGUGGGUGAGGCGUACAUCGGCAUCUUCUUUUUCGGGGGGGACAACGGAGGGCCACUUACGCUACUACCGCAUACGACGUACGGGUGAGUGCAGGGGUUCAUCGCAGUUUGCGCGACUGAAUGAGACGAUGUCGGAUUAGCUAGUUGGCGAGGUAAAGGCACACCAAGGCGACGAUACGUAGCAGGUCUGAGAGGAUGAUCAGCCACACUGGAACUGAGACACGGUCCAGACUCCUACGGGAGGCAGCAGUGGGGAAUAUUGGGCAAUGGGCGCAAGCCUGAUCCAGCCACACCGCGUGAGUGAAGAAGGCCUUCGGGUCGUAAAGCCCUUUUAUUAGGGAAGAACAGCAGUAGGUGAAUACGUCGCUGUUCUGACGGUACCUAAAGAAUAAGCACCGGCUAACUUCGUG
rnacentral:rRNA from 1 species